GAUUACAUGCUGAGUCUCUGGGUUCCC
rnacentral:piRNA from 1 species